UUAUGCUGACGAGUUCCAAAUAGAACGAAACGCUCUUCCUGUAU
rnacentral:hammerhead_ribozyme from 1 species